rnacentral:ribozyme from 1 species
UCCAUUCGGAUUCAGAGAGUAGACGUCUGGCCAUCUUCUUGUAGAUUGUUUUAGGCAGGAUUACAUGUCUAUACUCGUGGUCAUCAUCAAAAUACUUUUCGGAAUAUUCGAUUUCGUCGGGAAAAUGUGGCA